UCAGCACAAACAUGGUCACUUCAGCUCCACUGCUGCUGCUGGCUCUCACCCCCUAUGUGUUUUGUGCUACUGAGCUCAUUCAGCCAGACUCAGUGGUUAUAAAGCCAGGAGAGACUUUAACCAUCACCUGUAAAGUGUCUGGAGCUUCAAUCACUGAUAGCAGCAGACACUAUGCAACAGCUUGGAUUCGACAACCUGCAGGAAAGGAUUUAGAAUGGAUCAACAUCAUUUAUCAUAAUGGGGCUAUUUAUAACAAGGAUCCCCUUAAAAACAAGUUUGCUGUCUCUCGAGAUACUUCCAGUAACAGCGUGACUUUACGGGGACAGAACAUACAGACUGAAGACACAGCUGUGUAUUACUGCGCUCGUGAAGAGCACACACUGACACAACAAGCUGCGGCGCUGCACAAAAACAUCAUCUUCUUCACAACUCAGUUUUAA